rnacentral:rRNA from 1 species
UGGGGAAUAUUGCACAAUGGGGGAAACCCUGAUGCAGCGACGCCGCGUGAGCGAUGAAGGCUUUCGAGUCGUAAAGCUCUGUCCUAUGGGAAGAUAAUGACGGUACCAUAGAAGAAAGCCCCGGCUAAUUACGUGCCAGCAGCCGCGGUAAUACGUAAGGGGCGAGCGUUGUCCGGAAUUAUUGGGCGUAAAGAGUGCGUAGGCGGCAAAUUAAGUCAGAUGUGAAAGCGUGAGGCUUAACCUCAUUAAGCACUUGAAACUGAUAGACUUGAGUGAAGGAGAGGAAAGUGGAAUUCCUAGUGUAGCGGUGAAAUGCGUAGAUAUUAGGAGGAAUACCGGUGGCGAAGGCGACUUUCUGGACUUUUACUGACGCUCAGGUACGAAAGCGUGGGGAGCAAACAGG